GCGAUGAACUAUGCUGCCGCGUCAUAGGCGGUUUUAGCCGUAUAUGAUGAGGAAAGUCCGGGCUCCGCAGGGCAUGAUGCCGGGUAACUCCCGGGCGGGGCUUCUAGAAGCUUCCGACAGAAAGCGCAACAGAAAGUAAACCGCUGGUAUGGCUCCGUGAGGAGGUAUCCAGUAAGGGUGAAAGGGCGGGGUAAGAGCCCACCGCGGGAUCGGUAACGAUUUCGGCACGGCAAGCCUCAUCAGGAGCAAAGUCAAACAGCGGCAGAACGGCCCGUUUUAAGCCGCGGGUAGACUGCGUAGAUUGGAUCCGUGAGGAUCCUGCUAGAUAGAUGGCAGCUCGUACGUGCUCGAGAGAGCAGGUACUAUACAGAACCCGGCUUAUGGUUCAUCGCUUUU
rnacentral:RNase_P_RNA from 1 species